rnacentral:tRNA from 2 species
UAGGCUGAAGCCCGCUGGAUUGGGCUUUUAGUUGUUAGUUAAAGUUUUAUGGGAUCAAAGCCCAUCGGUCUAG